UCAAUUUAUUAUUUGCUCUUCAAUUUACUCUCUCUCUCUCUCUCUCUCUCUCUCUCUCUCUCUCUCUCUCUUUUUCACAAUUUUCUUUUUCUCAUUUAUUUUUUGUUACAGGAAUUGAAGGAAAGGACAAAGAAGAGGGAGAGGAAGAGGAGGAAGAAGAGAAGAAGAAGAGGAAGAAGAUGAAGAGAAGAAAUGGUAGUAGAAGAUGAAGAAGAGGAGGAAGAGAGGAGGAAGAGAAGAUGGAGGAGGAGGAGGAAGAUAUAUAUUAACAGAGGAAUUAUAAGUGGAAAAAUAAUAAUAAGAAAAAGAAGAAGAAAGAAGAAGAAGAAGAAGAAGAAGAAGAAGAAGAAGAAGAAGAAGAACAAACAAAUAAGAGGAGGUAAAGACGAAAGAAGAAGCAGAACAAGAAAUAAAAGAAGGGACAGGUGAAGGAGGAGGAGGAGGAGGAGGAGGAGGAGGAGGAGGAGGAGGCCAGGUUGGCAGGUGUGUUUACCAUAAUUAGCCAAACUUACCUUUCAACUUUUCCUUUCUGCAUCGUUUCUAUUCUUUCUUCCUUUCUUUCUCUUCUCUUUGCUCUUUCCAUUAUGUCUAUUUUACUUUUUCUUUUCUUUUUCUCGUUUUCAUUAUUUUAUCUUCCUUUCUAUCUUCAUUAUCUUUAUCUCUUUCAUUCUCCAAUAUGUCUCAUCUUUUUUUCUUUAUUUUCUAUUCUUUCUUCCUUUCUUUCUCUUCUUUUUCUCGUUUUCAUUAUUUUAUCUUCCUUUCUUUCUUCAUUAUCUUUCUAUCUUUCAUUCUUCAAUAUCUCUUAUCUUCUUUUUCCUCCCUAUCUCUUCUCUUUGCCCUUUCUACUUUACUUUUUCUCCUUUUCAUUAUUUUAUCUUCCUUUCUUUCUUCAUUAUCUUUCUAUCUUUCAUUCUUCAAUAUCUCUUAUCUUCUUUUUUCUUUAUUUUCUUUUUCCUCCCUAUCUCUUCUCUUUGCCCUUUCUACUUUACUUUUUCUCCUUUUCAUUAUUUUAUCUUCCUUUCUUUCUUCAUUAUCUCCAUUAUCUCCCUUUAUCUACAUGUUUCUCCGUUGUCUUUAUCUCUUUCAUUCUCCAAUAUCUGUCUCUACCCCUCUACCCCUUCCCUUCACAUACCCCCAGAACCAACACACACAACAUCCCACCCCUCCCCUUCCCUUCCUUUCCCAUCCCCCCAAAACCAACACACACAACAUCCCACCCCUCCCCUUCCCUUUCCCUCCCAUCCCCCCAACACACCACACAGCUACUCACGAGGAGGAGGAGGAGGAGGAGGAAGAAGGUGAAGGAAGGAAGGGAUUGAGAAUUUUCUAACUUUUAAUUUCUUUUUCUUUCCCUUCAUUUUGUUUCUCUCCCUAACUACUACCACUACUACUACUACUACUAUUACUAUUACUACUAUUACUACUACUACUACUACACUAACAUCUCUUAUUUACUAUUAUUUCCACCUUUUCCAGCAUUUGUCAGUUAUAUUAUACGAGUUUUUUUUUUCUCCUCAUUUCUUAACAGCUGACGUACACUUCUAUUUCUACUUUUUUUUUCUUUCUCUUGAUAAUAAUAGGUUUGAUUUCAUUCAUUGGAUAGCUUUAUUUUUCUUUAGUCUUCUUUCUUUUUUUUCAUGUUUUUCAUUUUAAUUUUCAUGGAGUCUAUUUUUUUUUUUUGGUAACAUUUUUCUUUCUUUUAAUUGGUAACAUUUUUUUUCAAUUGUUUCCUAUUGAUUAUUUCUUUCUCUUGAUAUUUUUCCUCUUUUCAUAGAUUUGUUUUCAUUCUUAUUUUCAUGGAUAGCCUAUUUUUUCUUCUUUUUUUUUUUGGUAACAUUUUUCUUUCUUUUAAUUGGUAACAUUUUUUUUCAAUUGUUUCCUAUUGAUUAUUUCUUUCUCUUGAUAAUUUUUUUCUUCUUUUCAUAGGAUUGUUUUCAUUGUUAUUUUCAUGGAUAGCCUAUUUUUUUUUUUUGGUAACAUUUUUCUUUCUUUUAAUUGGUAACAUUUUUAUUCAAUUGUUUCCUAUUAUUUCUUUCUCUUGAUAUUUUUCCUCUUUUCAUAGAUUUGUUUUCAUUGCUAUUUUCAUGGAUAGCCUAUUUUUUCUUCUUUUUUUUUUUGGUAACAUUUUCUUUCUUUUAAUUGGGAACCUUUUUCAAUAAUCGUUUUUUUUUAUUAUUUCCUAUUUAUUAUUUCUUUCUCUUGAUAUUUUUUUCCUUUUCUUCUUUUCAUAGGAUUGUUUUCAUUCUUAUUUUCAUGGAUAGCCUUUUUUUCUUUUCUUCUUUUGGUAACAUUUUUUUUAAUUGGUAACUUUUCUAUUUUUUCGUUAUUUUUUGCAAUUGCUUCCUAUUUAUUAUUUCUUUCCCUCGAUAUAUUUUUUUUAAUUCUUUCUAUUGGUACAUAAAUUCUAAUCAUUCUCUUCGUUUUAUUAUUUUUCCUUUUCCUUCUCAACGACUUUUGAACUCUUCUGAUGAGGUUUUUCAAUAUUUCUUCCACUCUAUCUUGAUCUCUUCUCUAUUUCUAUCUAUUUAGGCCUAAUUUCUUUGUGUAUCUUUUCUUUCACUCUUUCUCUUCCUUCUUUUCUGACAAUAAUGAUGAUGGUAAGUAACGAUAAUGAUCCUAAUUAGUUGGCUGAGAUUCUUUACCUUAAUAAUAAUAAUAAUAAUAAUAAUAAUAAUAAUAAUAAUAGUAAGGUUAUUAUUGUCAUUAAAACACAGGUCUAACAUUAUUCUUUUUAUUUUUACCCUUUAAUCGAAUAUCUUAUCAACAUAUGUACAGAAAAUGGUCAUCUUUAUCCUCUCUAUGUACACUAUGGACAGGUACACACACACACACACACACACACACACAACGAAGACAUGAUUAGGCUUUCCAAUACUUCUUUAAUUCUCACAAUAUAUCUUUUCUAUUUCCAUCUCUUUCUCACUUCAAUCAAUUUCUUUUCUUGGUAUCUGUGUGUAGCUUUUCUUUCAUUCUUUCUCUUCCUUCCUUCCUUUCUUACUUUGUUUUCUUUCUCUUCCUUUCGUCCAUGAGAUCAGGGCAUUCAAUCACACUAUUUCACUCUCAACUUUCUACUUUUUUUUCACAUCUUAAAGUAUAAACAGACAGACAGACUGAAUGAGGUGGAGGGGAGAGAAUGGAAGGGAAAUGGAAAGGUGGGAGAGGGGGUGAGAAGGGUGGGGUUACUUUUAUCUUAUUGGGUGAGGAAGGAAAGGGGUGAAAUGGGGGGAAGGAUGGGGAGUUAGUCUUCCUAUUUGUGGGGAGAAGGGGAGUCAGGGAGGAGGGGUGAGGGAAGGAAGGAAGAAUUUGUGAGUUUGUGGGCUGAAAUAAUUAACUGAGGAAGAGUUUAGUAAAAUGAAACUAGUGUAACUAUUAAAGAGAGAGAGAGAGAGAGAGAGAGAGAGAGAGAGAGAGAGAGAUUAGCUCACACGUUGCUGUCUGUCUGUCUCAAUCACUUUGCCUCACCAACACACAAAAACAAAAGUAAUAGUAAUAAUAAAUCGUCCACACAUUUGAAAACAUUUGCGAAACGUCAGAGAGAGAGAGAGAGAGAGAGAGAGAGAGAGAGAGAGAGAGAGAGAGAGAGAGAGAGAGAAAACAAGACAUCAUCAUUUCAUUGAGCAACACUAGAAAGGUUAAACAAACAAACAAACAAACAAACACACACACGAACAAACAUUAAAAAAAUCUUGUACUUAUUUUCAAGAUCAAUAGUUGUUGUUUUUGUUGUUGUUGUUAUUAUUAUUAUUUUAUCAAAGAAGGAAAGAAAGAAAGAAUGAGAAAGAAAAAAAAAUAGAUAGAUUAGAUUUCUUUCUUUAAUACAUCUUUUUCAUUACUUCCAGAGAGAGAGAGAGAGAGAGAGAGAGAGAGAGAGAGAAUCUUUGGAACACAGAUUUGAACUCCAUAUUUCUUACAUCAUCAUCGUCAUCAUCAUCAGCAUCAUAAUAGCGUAACAUGGGCUUAAUAAUAAUAUACAAAAAAAGAAGAGGAGAAAGAGGAGAAGAGGAGGGUAGGGAGAAGGAGGGAUAAGACAGAUUUGGAGGAAGAGAAAACAUAAUAAUAAUAAUAAUAAUGGUAAUGGUAGUAACAGUAAUGGUGGUAGUAGUAGUAGUAGUAGUAGUAAUAGUAGUGGUAGUAAUAAAAAUAGGUAAACUAUAACUUGUAAACUAUAACUGUAUGCCUGUCUGUAUGCAUGUAUGUAAGUAUGUAUGUAUGUAUGUAUGUAAGAAUGUUAGUGUGUGUGUGUGUGUGUGUGUGUGUGUGUGUGUGUGUGUGUGUGUGUGUGUGUGUGUGUGUGUGUGUGUGUGUGUGUGUGUGUGUGUGUGUGAACAGACUGGCAAUCUCAACUAUUGUAUGGCGUGGAAGCGGUUAACCAACAAAAAAACAAAAAAACGGAACUGUACAGAACUAAUGCCGGAAGCGAUGGGUAAGAGGUGGGUAAGGAUAGGGAAUAUUGGGGAAGGAAAGGAAGGGUUAUAUAUUGGCCUGGAAGGGUUGGGGGAAUGGAAGGAUAGGAUGGGGAAGGUUGGGGAAGAUGGGCAAGGAUUACAUAUUGGCUGGGGAAGGUUGGGGAAGAAGGGCAAGGGUUACAUAUUGGCUGGGGAAGGUUGGGUUACAAGGGCAAGGAUUACAUAUUGGCUGGGGAAGGUUGGGGAAGAAGGGCAAGGGUUACAUAUUGGCUGGGGAAGGUUGGGGAAGAAGGGCAAGGAUUACAUAUUGGCUGGGGAAGGUUGGGGAAGAAGGGCAAGGAUUACAUAUUGGCUGGGGAAGGUCGGGGAAGAAGGGCAAGGGUAACAUAUUGGCUGGAGAAGGUUGGGGAAGAUGGGCAAGGAUUACAUAUUGGCUGGGGAAGGUUGGGGAGUGAAGGGGAAGAAGUGGGGAUAAUUUGGGAAGGAUGGAGAAUGUAAGGUAAGGCGAGGAAGGGUUACUGAAUGGGUAUGAAGGGUUGGGGAAGGGAAAGGAGAUGAUGUAACAAGUUGGGGAUGGUGGGGAAGGGUUCGGGGAGUACAGGUAUGGUUGGGUUAAUUAACUGUGACUAAAAUUAAUUACUACGAAACAGGUAAGGAAGAAGAGGAGGAAGAGGAAGACGAAGAAAGUAGAAGACGAGGAAGAGGAAGAAGAGGG